UCCCACUGGCCCACCCAGCCAGUCCCAAGGCCUCCUCCAACCUCUGGUUCACAGCGGGGUCUGUCCCCUGCAGCAGGUGGCUCAAGCCUAUUCACCCACCCUUCCUCACUUUCCUCUCGUUCCAACAACCCCCAUUUUUCUAGAUCUUAUUAGCCAGAUCCCUGUUGUCCUAGACCUCUGUUUCUUAACAACCAGUACUUCUUCCUGAGCUCCUGACGGCUUCCUUCAUGCCAUUUUCUCUUGGGGUGUGGCUUGUGGUAGGCUGCAGGAACCUGGUGACACUGUUGCCCCUCGAGUGUAAAUGCCGUCUGUUCUGCAUAUCCAUGCGUGGCUGCUCCUUUACCCAGAGUGCAGGCUCCUUGGAUGGGUUGGGGGGGUGGGAGCCAGCUGGGUCCAGGUGAGAGGGACUGGCCUGAUUCACUCUCUGUCCACAGCUACCGAGUCUAUUGCUUGCUGGGAGACGGGGAGCUGUCAGAGGGCUCCGUAUGGGAGGCCAUGGCCUUCGCCAGCAUCUAUAAGCUGGACAACCUUGUGGCCAUUCUAGACAUCAAUCGCCUGGGCCAGAGUGACCCGGCCCCGCUGCAGCACCAGAUGGACAUCUACCAGAAGCGGUGCGAGGCCUUCGGGUACGUACGAGGCUGUGGCCUGAGUGUGGUCACAGCACGGAGAGUGGUCUGUGAUCACAGCUUUGCAGGUGCAGGUGCAGGAGCUGAAGCUGGGACCUUAAGCACCAUCUAAAGGUCCCUUUCUUUAGCAUUUGACUCACAAUUUCAAACUCUAGGCAUUUGGACUUAAUGGCUCAGGAUAUGUGGGCCAGGCCCAGUUUUAAGUGAGUUUCCUUGUUUUCGUGGUUGUGGCAUGGUGGCUCUCGGAGCUUCCACACACCAUCUCACGUCAGCUCGCUUUGUUCUUGAGGAAGGAGGGUUCUUGAGGGAUGGGGGCUUGCUCGGUAAAGCUAAAGGAUGUAUAGCUGUGGAGAGGUUUGAACCUCAGUUUGGUGGCCACGUCCUGUGCCCAGCCCCGCCCAGCCUGGGGAGGAGGAACAGGCUCCUGGUGAAAUGGGAGAUAGGGUUUCCAGAUGCCCCCCUUCGGCCUUGAUUGGUUACAAAUUCAGGGUCAAAGGGCACAAAGCAGGGAGGUCAAUCUGCAUGGGUGUCAGCCAGAGGGGCUCCACCUCAAAGUCUCCACCGGUGUCGCCAAACACAAGCUGCUCUGCACAGGGGCCCAGCAUUGGCUGAGGAGGCUGUGGAGGGGAGGGAGCAGGGCAGGUGCCGUGCAAGGCUUUGAGACUCAGGUCAGGCCUCCAGGACUGCGUUUUGCAGAUGAACCCAUGCCUGUGACUACACUAAGUAACAGGAUGCUUGGGGUUACCUUGCAGUAGCACAGCAGACGCAGGCCUGUGUUCCCUGAUGACUGACCUCAGAAAGGGAGAGGAGGAAGGGAGGAAAUAAUCUCUGUUGGACAGGCGAGGAACCUGAGCCACAGGGUCCUCACCCCACAGGCCUCCCCAAGGCCACAUCUAUCUGGGGACUCAGAGUACAACCCCCGCAGCACCCCCAGGACCUGUGUCCAUAACCUCGUGACUCAAGCCAGAUUCCUGAAGUCCUGGCUCCACCGCUAACUUGCUUUGUGGCGUGGGUCACGUUACUUACUCCACCUUCAGUGUCUCAGUUGAUUUGUCUGUACAAUGGGGCCAACUCAGCACCCAAGCAUGGCGUGGUGAGGCUUCAGUGGGCUAAUAUGGGUAGUGGUUGGCAUGGCACUCAGUUUGAGAAGUGCUAUUUUUAUUCUUAUUAUGUCAAAAAGAGUCCCCAAAAGGAUAGCUUUUCAAGAGAAAGGGUGCUCUGCCCCAGCUCCUUCCUGUAUAUUUGACUCCAUGGUUCAUUUCAAAAACAUUUCCAGCACCACAUCCAGCAUCUGUGGAGUGAUCAAAUCUGUUCCCCAAAUAAGAAUUGGGCCAAAAAAUUCAUCAAGAAUCUAAUAGCAGACAGAUUCCAAACCCAGUGCGCUGACCCCAGAACAGCUUUCAGUAGGAAAUGAGCAGAUCAGGAAUGAAAGAGACAAUAAAGGAAAUGAGCUCUGGAUUACUUAAGAAGAGGAGGAAAACCUGUUCAGAGGCAAACAAAAGGAAGUAAAAUAAUGUGAAAAAGAAAAGGAUUUAAAAAACCCAAACUGGAAACAGGAAUGUUGCAAGUUUUCUACUACUACAGCUGAGGCCGCAGUUGUGGGGUGGAGCCUGGGCAGACCCCAGCUGCCAAGGCAGACCUUUCCCUGGAAGGCUCCUCGGUGUUGUGGCCCCUGGGAAUUGCCCCUUACUCUCUGCCCCCUGUCCCCAGUUGGCAUGCCAUCAUCGUGGAUGGACACAGCGUGGAGGAGCUGUGCAAGGCCUUUGGCCAGGCCAAGCACCAGCCAACAGCCAUCAUUGCCAAGACCUUCAAGGGCCGAGGGAUCACAGGUCAGUAUGCACAAGCCGCCCUCCCCACCUUCACCCCUGGCCCAGACACUGUGGCUACGUAGCUCUGACCCUCACAUCCAGGGAAACAGCCCUUGCUGCUCACUGAGUGCACCAGGCUCCAGGGAAGGGGAGCGGGAGAUGCUGUGACUCAGUGACCCCUGUGGCUGAGCCAGGAUUUAAACUCAGAUCCGUCUGGCCUCUGCCGGUGGGGGCAUGUACAGGCAGGAGGAGAGGAAGGACUUGGAGGGUCUGUGGGUGAGAGGAAGGUCGUGGAGUGAGGCAGCCCCCGUGCCCCACCCUGGCUGGUGCCUUUCAGAGCUGCAGCUGUGUGUGCUCUGCCAGCUCCGGCCACCUGCUCCAGCUGAAGGGCCAACACAGAGCCAGGCAGGGCCUGGAGAGAACUGUUCCCUCCAGGAGGUGAGUGGGGUACUCCUCAAGCAAUGGCAGAUGCUGAGCAAGGCCUGUGUGGGCCGAGAGCCUUGGGGGGUUUGGAACCUGGGUUCUGCCCCAGGCCGGAGAAUGAGGCAGGCGUAAGUCACUCCCUGGCACCCAGGUGUGGGCUCCAGAUUCCUAGGCCUGGGAUGGCCUCACCCAUUUUAAAGAUGGGAAAAUGAGACCACAAGUGGUCAGGGACUUGCCCGGGGACAGAGGAAGUCUAUGGCACGAGGGGGGCUGAUCCCAGGGCCUGGGUCGGCUUCCCUGCCAAAUGCCUCUGGCUGCCCACCUGCCUGCUCUCAGGGGUUGUGGCUUGUUCUGCCCAUGUAGACUCAGGUAUAUGAGGACGUUCUGAGUGGGGGUUUGGCAGUGCUGGGAGGUGUCUGGGAGGGGGUGGAUGUCGAGGAAAGGGCUCUGGGAUAUUGUCAUGGCUUUGGUGCUGCUGCCUGGCACUGCCCUCUGGUGUUAAAAAUGGGCAGGAUCUGGACCACUUGCAGCUUCUUGGGGGCUCCUGCUAGUCUUUCGGGCUGCUGGGUGCUACCUGGGAGUUCAGUCUGUUCUUGGCUCUGGCCAGACUCUAGUGACUACUGAGGUGACCUCCAGGGAGAGGGAUAUUCAGCCUUCCCGGCCGCACACAACAAGGUGCCAUGGGGUGGGCAUGCCUAGGUGCUUAUAGACUCCUCUGCUGCUCACAGAUGCAUCAGGUGACCCUGGAAGCCCUGUUCUGGGCCUUGGGUUCCCCUUCUGAUGGCCAGGGUCCCUUCCAACCCAGUCGACAAACUGAGUAUUUCUGCAGCAGACACCUCUACCUGUGUGUGACCCUGCAGGCGGGGUUGUGGGGAAGAAGAGAAUGGACACAUUGGUGAAGGGAUGGGGCAGUGGGCCCAGAAACACACACCUGCCCAUGUCUGGCCCCUCCUUUCCCACUCAGCUGUGAGCUCCCGAAGGACCAGGCAGUAGACAGUGAGUGGUGGGCACGUAGGAGUCCAUCCUAUUCACUGCGACCCUCCUUUCCUGGCCCCCGUGCCUGGCUGGGCUCUGCCUGUCUGGGAUGAUGCCAUUCCUCCCUUGCCCUCGGCAGGUGGAGGGCCAGUCUCCUGGAGCAGCCUCCUGGCCCUCUGGGAGCUUCUGUCUUACCCAUUCCUCUGUCCUCCCGUGUUGGGUCUGUAGGGGUAGAAGAUAAGGAGUCUUGGCAUGGGAAGCCCCUCCCCAAAAACAUGGCUGAGCAGAUCAUCCAGGAGAUCUACAGCCAGAUCCAGAGCAAAAAGAAGAUCCUGGCAACCCCUCCACAGGAGGACGCACCCUCAGUGGACAUUGCCAACAUCCGCAUGCCCAGCCUGCCCAGCUACAAAGUUGGGGACAAGAUAGCCACCCGCAAGGCCUACGGGCAGGCACUGGCCAAGCUGGGCCAUGCCAGUGACCGCAUCAUCGCCCUGGAUGGGGACACCAAAAAUUCCACCUUCUCGGAGAUCUUCAAAAAGGAGCACCCGGACCGCUUCAUCGAGUGCUACAUUGCCGAGCAGAACAUGGUGAGCAUUGCGGUGGGCUGUGCCACCCGCAACAGGACGGUGCCCUUCUGCAGCACUUUUGCAGCCUUCUUCACGCGGGCCUUUGACCAGAUUCGCAUGGCUGCCAUCUCCGAGAGCAACAUCAACCUCUGCGGCUCCCACUGCGGCGUUUCCAUCGGGGAAGACGGGCCCUCCCAGAUGGCCCUGGAAGAUCUGGCUAUGUUUCGGUCAGUCCCCACAUCAACUGUCUUUUACCCAAGUGAUGGCGUUGCUACAGAGAAGGCAGUGGAACUAGCCGCCAAUACGAAGGGUAUCUGCUUCAUCCGGACCAGCCGCCCAGAAAAUGCCAUCAUCUAUAACAACAAUGAGGACUUCCAGGUCGGACAAGCCAAGGUGAUCCUGAAGAGCAAGGAUGACCAGGUGACCGUUAUCGGGGCUGGGGUGACCCUGCACGAGGCCUUGGCCGCUGCCGAACUGCUGAAGAAAGGUGAGGAGAAGGGGCCUCCAAAGUCAUCAACUGAGCGGCCACUGCAUGCUAGGUCUUGGGGUUCUUUCUUUUGUUCUUUCUGUUCUUUCUUGAAGAGCUCACAGCUAAAGAGAAAGAAUUUCAUUUCAUUAAAUAAUGAUGGCAAUUAAAGCCACCCUUUGAGCACUUGUUCUGUCUGGCAUGUUGCUAGGUCCUGGGGCUGCAGUGCCCACAAUCCCUACCCUAUGACUCUAAAGUCGAGACCCCCUCAGCAUGGUGGCCAGAUCAGUGGCCUGGAGCCUGCCAGCUGGGCUGGAAUCACUCAGCCAGGCACUAGUUAAGGAAGUAAGUUAUUCACUUAUCACCAUGCCUGUUUUCCUAUCUGUAAAAUGGAGAUACUAGCCCCUUGCCCUCAGGGCUCUCCUGAGGGUUACAUGCAUGUGACUUGGUAUUCUAUUAUUAUUACUGCGAGCUCACAGGGUUGGCUAGUGGUUUGUAGGGGAGACAGGCAUUGGCCUCUCCCGCAAUAGAAUCACACAGCAGAUGUCAUGUUUUAGCACAAAAGAGGGGGCAGGUGUGGCAUCUUCCAGAAAGUGGCUUCAGAGUGGGUAGGAAUUGAUUAGCAGAGAGGAGAGUGAAGGGAGGCCGGAGCAGGGUCAGGCAGGAGCAAGAUGGGGCUGGAGGAGCCAGAGGAGUCCAUCCCCAGGCAGGGGGAGACCCAGGGGGGUGAGCUUUAAGCAGGGCCUGGCAAGCGUGGGUUUGUCCUUCUGAGAAGGUGCCUCUGCUGCUGGGGCCACACGUGGGCCUCUGAUCACUCUGCGGGCUGCAGCUCCCCAACGUCACCACAUCAACCCUCACCUUCCAUCAGGCCAGACACCUGGGGUGUUUUCUCUCACAUUCCCUUUGUAAACUUCAAGGUUGUGGGAGGAUGAGGGAAGGCGCUCAGGGCCUGCAUGCUCCGCUCUGGGUUCUUGGAUACUGCGGGCAACACAGCUGGACCAGAUGCCCCAGUGCAAGGGGUUGGCAAGCAUGAGCUCAGCCAUGGGAACGAGGUGGCAAAUGGUUCUCCCUGGGACAGGGACAGGCCCGCAGGCUGAGCUCUUAGCUACACGCAGCCCUCAGGAUGUCCCACCAGGCCCCGACCAGGGCAGAUAGUGGUGCCCAGCCCUCCCCUCAGCCACGCCGUGUGCUCUCCCUCACAGAAAAGAUCAACAUCCGCGUGCUGGACCCCUUCACCAUCAAGCCCCUGGACAGAAAACUCAUUCUCGACAGCGCUCGUGCCACCAAGGGCAGGAUCCUCACCGUGGAGGACCAUUAUUACGAAGGUAAGGAGGCCUGGGGCAGGCAGGCUGGGCAAGGGACAGGGCCAGAGAGCCGAGCGUUGGACGUGCCUCUUCUAUCUGAGCCCCAGGAGGGCAGCUGUGGCCCAGAACACCCAGAGCUGUCUCUUAGAGCAGCUGGGACGUGGUCUCUUAACAGGCCUCAGGCUUGGCCUGGGGACCCAGCUAACUCACAGCUGCUGAUGAGCUCUGUGGAGCUCCUGCUGCCCAGGAAGCUGGUGAGGAUUCCAGCCUCGCUGCUAAAUGGUGGAUGGUGGCGUCCCUGAGGUAGUGUAGGGUGGAAGCUAUGGUGCAGCUUGGGAAGCAAUGCAGAAUUUCUGGUAUUUGUGAGUCCUUCACACAGCAGGCUCCUUAAGUACACACCAGCCUCUCUAAGUAGGAGGCCCCAGUGGGAGAGAUGGGCUUUGACUCUGGGGUCAAAUGUAGAUAAUCGGACUAUGGACAGUGGCUGGCUGGUCACCAACAAUGGUGUUUGAAACAAACAUUUAGAGGCCAUAUUUGGGCUUAUAAAAAUAGUUCUGGGCCAUGCAUGGUGGCUCACGCCUGCAAUCCCAGCACUUUGGGAGGCUGAGGACGGCGGAUUUCUUGAGCUCAGGAGUUGGGAGACCAGCCUGGGCAACAUGGCGAUACCUGUCUCUUUAAAAUAAAAAAAAAAACCAAUGAGUUAUGUGAUGGGCUCAUGGCUACAGGUGGAGAAAGGCGGUGCAUAUGCAGCCUCCUCCAUCCUUGACUAAGGCUGACAGAGGGCUGGGCCCACCACUGCUCACCCUGAGGCCUCGUCUUCUGACUCCCCUCCUUUCAUUUCUAGGUGGCAUUGGUGAGGCUGUGUCCAGUGCAGUAGUGGGCGAGCCUGGCAUCACUGUCACCCACCUGGCAGUUAACCGGGUACCAAGAAGUGGGAAGCCGGCUGAGCUGCUGAAGAUGUUCGGUAUCGACAAGGAUGCCAUUGCACAAGCUGUGAGAGGCCUCAUCACCAAGGCCUAGGGCGGGUAUGAAGUGUGGGGCGGGGGUCUAUACAUUCCUGAGAUUCUGGGAAAGGUGCUCAAAGAUGUACUGAGAGGAGGGGUAAAUAUAUGUUUUGAGAAAAA
rnacentral:sRNA from 1 species